GGGUUGUGAGGUUAAGCGACUAAGCGUACACGGUGGAUGCCCUGGCAGUCAGAGGCGAUGAAGGACGUGCUAAUCUGCGAAAAGCGUCGGUAAGGUGAUAUGAACCGUUAUAGCCGGCGAUGUCCGAAUGGGGAAACCCAGUGCAAUUCGUUGCACUAUCGUUAACUGAAUACAUAGGUUAACGAGGCGAACCGGGGGAACUGAAACAUCUAAGUACCCCGAGGAAAAGAAAUCAACCGAGAUUCCCCCAGUAGCGGCGAGCGAACGGGGAGCAGCCCAGAGUCUGAAUCAGCUUGUGUGUUAGUGGAACGGUCUGGAAAGUCCGACGGUACAGGGUGAUAGUCCCGUACACCAAAAUGCACAGGCUGUGAACUCGAAGAGUAGGGCGGGACACGUGGUAUCCUGUCUGAAUAUGGGGGGACCAUCCUCCAAGGCUAAAUACUCCUGACUGACCGAUAGUGAACCAGUACCGUGAGGGAAAGGCGAAAAGAACCCCGGCGAGGGGAGUGAAAAAGAACCUGAAACCGUGUACGUACAAGCAGUGGGAGCACCUUCGGGUGUGACUGCGUACCUUUUGUAUAAUGGGUCAGCGACUUAUAUUCUGUAGCAAGGUUAACCGUAUAGGGGAGCCGCAGGGAAACCGAGUCUUAACUGGGCGUUAAGUUGCAGGGUAUAGACCCGAAACCCGGUGAUCUAGCCAUGGGCAGGUUGAAGGUUGGGUAACACUAACUGGAGGACCGAACCGACUAAUGUUGAAAAAUUAGCGGAUGACUUGUGGCUGGGGGUGAAAGGCCAAUCAAACCGGGAGAUAGCUGGUUCUCCCCGAAAGCUAUUUAGGUAGCGCCUCGUGAAUUCAUCUUCGGGGGUAGAGCACUGUUUCGGCUAGGGGGUCAUCCCGACUUACCAACCCGAUGCAAACUACGAAUACCGAAGAAUGUUAUCACGGGAGACACACGGCGGGUGCUAACGUCCGUCGUGAAGAGGGAAACAACCCAGACCGCCAGCUAAGGUCCCAAAGUCAUGGUUAAGUGGGAAACGAUGUGGGAAGGCACAGACAGCCAGGAUGUUGGCUUAGAAGCAGCCAUCAUUUAAAGAAAGCGUAAUAGCUCACUGGUCGAGUCGGCCUGCGCGGAAGAUGUAACGGGGCUAAACCAUGCACCGAAGCUGCGGCAGCGACACUAUGUGUUGUUGGGUAGGGGAGCGUUCUGUAAGCCUGCGAAGGUGUGCUGUGAGGCAUGCUGGAGGUAUCAGAAGUGCGAAUGCUGACAUAAGUAACGAUAAAGCGGGUGAAAAGCCCGCUCGCCGGAAGACCAAGGGUUCCUGUCCAACGUUAAUCGGGGCAGGGUGAGUCGACCCCUAAGGCGAGGCCGAAAGGCGUAGUCGAUGGGAAACAGGUUAAUAUUCCUGUACUUGGUGUUACUGCGAAGGGGGGACGGAGAAGGCUAUGUUAGCCGGGCGACGGUUGUCCCGGUUUAAGCAUGUAGGCUGAUUAUCCAGGCAAAUCCGGAUAAUCAAGGCUGAGGUGUGAUGACGAGGCACUACGGUGCUGAAGUAACAAAUGCCCUGCUUCCAGGAAAAGCCUCUAAGCAUCAGGUAACAUCAAAUCGUACCCCAAACCGACACAGGUGGUCAGGUAGAGAAUACCAAGGCGCUUGAGAGAACUCGGGUGAAGGAACUAGGCAAAAUGGUGCCGUAACUUCGGGAGAAGGCACGCUGGUGUGUAGGUGAAGCCCCUGCGGGUGGAGCUGAGACCAGUCGAAGAUACCAGCUGGCUGCAACUGUUUAUUAAAAACACAGCACUGUGCAAACACGAAAGUGGACGUAUACGGUGUGACGCCUGCCCGGUGCCGGAAGGUUAAUUGAUGGGGUUAUCCGUAAGGAGAAGCUCUUGAUCGAAGCCCCGGUAAACGGCGGCCGUAACUAUAACGGUCCUAAGGUAGCGAAAUUCCUUGUCGGGUAAGUUCCGACCUGCACGAAUGGCGUAAUGAUGGCCAGGCUGUCUCCACCCGAGACUCAGUGAAAUUGAACUCGCUGUGAAGAUGCAGUGUACCCGCGGCAAGACGGAAAGACCCCGUGAACCUUUACUAUAGCUUGACACUGAACAUUGAGCCUUGAUGUGUAGGAUAGGUGGGAGGCUUUGAAGCGUGGACGCCAGUCUGCGUGGAGCCAACCUUGAAAUACCACCCUUUAAUGUUUGAUGUUCUAACGUUGGCCCCUGACCGGGGUUGCGGACAGUGUCUGGUGGGUAGUUUGACUGGGGCGGUCUCCUCCCAAAGCGUAACGGAGGAGCACGAAGGUUAGCUAAUCCUGGUCGGACAUCAGGAGGUUAGUGCAAUGGCAUAAGCUAGCUUGACUGCGAGCGUGACGGCGCGAGCAGGUGCGAAAGCAGGUCAUAGUGAUCCGGUGGUUCUGAAUGGAAGGGCCAUCGCUCAACGGAUAAAAGGUACUCCGGGGAUAACAGGCUGAUACCGCCCAAGAGUUCAUAUCGACGGCGGUGUUUGGCACCUCGAUGUCGGCUCAUCACAUCCUGGGGCUGAAGUAGGUCCCAAGGGUAUGGCUGUUCGCCAUUUAAAGUGGUACGCGAGCUGGGUUUAGAACGUCGUGAGACAGUUCGGUCCCUAUCUGCCGUGGGCGCUGGAGAAUUGAGGGGGGCUGCUCCUAGUACGAGAGGACCGGAGUGGACGCAUCACUGGUGUUCGGGUUGUCAUGCCAAUGGCACUGCCCGGUAGCUAAAUGCGGAAGAGAUAAGUGCUGAAAGCAUCUAAGCACGAAACUUGCCCCGAGAUGAGUUCUCCCUGAGACUUUAAGUCUCCUGAAGGAACGUUAAAGACGAUGACGUUGAUAGGCCGGGUGUGUAAGCGCAGCGAUGCGUUGAGCUAACCGGUACUAAUGAACCGUGAGGCUUAACCUUACAACGCCGAAG
rnacentral:rRNA from 1 species